UUUAGUACCCAAAUUAGAGAAUGGUUCUGUCCCUGGAACUCAAAAUUAACACCUUGUGGCAAAAAUGGGUGGUUCUCUGGAAGUAUGGUGCAAAUGACAUGAGAGCCGAAAAAUCAACUUGUUCAAAACCAGGUAAAAAUAAUACAUGCUUUAAAUCAGGGGUCGGGACCUAUGGCUCGCGAGCCAGAUAUGGCUCUUUUGGUGACUGCGUCUGGCUCGCAGACAAAUCUGACAUUCGUUUACACAAUUGAAGUCAUAAAUAAUUUUGUUAUAUUAUCAAAG